GCCGAGGUGGCGGAAUUGGUAGACGCGUAGGUCUCAAAAACCUAUGAGGGUCACACCUCGUGCGGGUUCGAUUCCCGCCCUCGGCA
rnacentral:tRNA from 1 species